UUAUGUCCAAUUUGCCAGUACUGCAGUUUGUGUGUAGUGAGGUGUUUUCAUGGUGUUUUAUUGGUGCUUUUACUAAAGGAAGGCUUCUAUCAAAUUCUUCCAAAUGUUGUCAAACUGAGCUGUGUGAUGAAGUGAGUGUGACAGAAACACUCAGACUGUGUUUCUCUGCUUCAUCAAGUCAAAUCUGGUCCUCAGAGACUGAAUAAAGUCCUGUCCCACUAACAGCAGCUCCAACAGUCUGUUCACUGCUUUCUUCCUGUCAGUCUUCAUCUUUCUGCUGCGUCUCCUCUUCACACUGACCACUUUCUAUCUAACAGUGAGCUCCCAGUGAAGCAGCAGCAUUCAGCCUGUUAGAGUCAACACAAAUGUCUCCAUCCAAGCUCAUGUUGUGCUUUGUUGUCCUCUCAGUCCCCCAGGUGGAGGUGGAUUCAGGGGUGGAGUCUGUCCAGCUGCCCUUCAACACCACACUUCACCUGCCUGAAGACGCUAAAGUGGAGUGGAAGAAUAAUUACGAUACAAAAGUCCACAUGUAUGAGAACGGCUCUGACCAGCCUGAAGAACAGCACCAGUUUUACAGAGACCGAACGAAGAUGAAUGAAGACCUGCUGAAAACUGGAGACCUCAGUCUGACCCUGAAACACCCCACAGAAACAAAGACCUACACCUGCACCGUCUACAGCAGGGAGGGAAACAUCCUGCUGAAGAGAAAGGUGGAGCUGAAAGUCAGAGUCUGUCAGGUGGAGGUGGAUUCAGGGGUGGAGUCUGUCCCGCUGCCCUUCAAAUCCACAGAAAACCUGCCUGAAGACGCUAAAGUGGAGUGGAAGGAUGGGAGAUCCAGAACAGUCCACGUGUAUAAGAACGGCUCUGACCAGCCUGAAGAACAGAACCAAGUUUACAGAGACCGAACAAAGAUGAAUAAAGACCUGCUGAAAACUGGAGACCUCAGUCUGACCCUGAAAUACCCCACAGACUGGGACAGCGAAGAUUUCAUAUGUGAAGUUUGGAGGAGUGGAAACAUCCUUAGAACAAAAUCACUGCUGCUCAAAGUCAAAGUCUGUCAGGUGGAGGUGGAGGAGGGGGCGGAGUCUGUCCAGCUGCCCUUCAAAACCACACAAAACCUGCCUGGAGAUGUUAGAGUGGUUUGGGAAUGCAAAGAGCCUGAACCAGUAAUGUUGGUCCAUGUAUAUGACAAUGGCUCUGACCAGCCUGAAGAACAGCACCAGGUUUACAGAGACAGAACGAAGAUGAACGAAGACCUGCUGAAAACUGGAGACCUCAGUCUGACCCUGAAACAGCCCACAGAGAGAGACAGUGGAGGAUAUGCAUGCUACGUUGUGAGGAAUCGAGCUGUGGUUCGAAGGAAGAGAGUGCAGCUCAAAGUCAAAGGGAGAGUUCAGGUUCAGGAUCAAACAGGGGACAUCAGGAACAGAAGCAGCUCCAUUGAUCCGACUCCUCUGAUGGCUGAUCAAUCAGUUUGAUCUGUGUGUUCUUUGAUUAUUGAUCAGUGAUGUCAGAGUGGAGUCAGUGUGAUGUUGUUGUUGUGUGUUUGAGACUUUUAGUGUCCAUGAAGGUCUCUGCUGCCGUAGAUCCUCUGAACUGUGACAGAGGUCUCACUCUGGAGGAAACUCUCAGCACUUUCCAGCAGCUCCUCCAUCAUGGAGGACGUUCCCUCACUGUAACAGGUGGAGGAGAGAGGAGAGGAAGCACAGGUGGAUCCUCUGAGGAAGAGGAGCGUUCCUACAAACCACAUGAUCACAUGACCAGAGGACAAGCAUGUGUAGAAACCUACAUCUGUCUCCAGCAGCUGUCUGAGCUGCAGUCUGUAUUGUGUGUGUAAUAUCUUCAUAUGUUUCUAAUAUUACAGUUUUAUCUUCAGGUGUAAAAUCAGCUGCUCUGCUGUCUUAUCCCCUGAUCCUGUGUGAUUGAUUAAUCCUGCAAACGCCACAAAUUUCAUUUCAGCUUUUAUUUGAAAGCUGAAACCUUGAAGGCUUUACAUGUGUUGGAUAUGAAUGUUUGGAGCCCAGAUCAUCAUUUGUCUUGUUUCAGUGGGAAUGUUUUUCUCCAUGUUGGCCUGAGGGUGGUGCUGUUUAGCCUGUACUGAGUAUUUGUCACUAUGCUGAGUUGUGGGUGGAGUCAGUGAUUGGCUGAAGGUGCCUUCUUUAAAGCGGGAACACUGGCUCAGCUUUCCUACCUCCUUACUCCCAGCUGGACCACGCUGCAUCAACAAGUGAUUGUCUGUGUGUGGAAGAGUGAUGCCAUUGUACACACUGUAAAUAUCUUCUUCUUCUUCAGCUGUGUGGGUGGAGAAGCUUUUCUGUUAGGGAGACGGUGUCCUUCUCACCUUCAGACAUGAGAUUAGAAAGAGAGAGAGUUCAGAUUACAGUGCAGAUAUGAAUGAAUGAAUCCGUGCUCGUCCUCACGGCUCCUGCAUGCUUUUAAAAAAGUGUGUGUUCAGCUCUGAUCUCCAAUCUGUUCUUUUCUCUCUUUGUUUCUUUCCUGGCUUCAUGAUCAUCAUCACACCGUCUGAGGCUCCUAAAUAUCCAUGUUUGCUUGUUUCACUCUCACAGUUGAACUCUGGGAGUCAAAGAUGUUUCAGCUCCAAACUCACUGAGAGCUCCUCGUGCCCACCACGUGACCAAAAACAUCUUUGUGCUCACGUGCUGCACGUGUCUGAGACACUUUAGUUUGAAGGAGACAAACUGCAGACGCAGCAUUUCCUGUUCCUGAGUGUAAACCUGAGCAUUUGAAAUGAGCUCCACAGGGGAAGCUGUAGGUGACAGAGAUACUCACAGACUCACUGACGUUACAGUCUGUUAGCAUCACGCAGUAUCACAGACACACGGGAAGAUUUAGUGCAAGUGCUGAGAGACACACAGCAGACAUAUUGACUGGAAACAUAUCAGACUGAAAUAAAGCAGAAGCACAUGUUAGCACAUGCUAAUAUGAUGUGGAUGUGUUUAGUGUGGGAGCAGGACUCACCUGAGACACACCUGUGUGGAUGAUGCUGCUUCCUGCUCUGCUCUUUCUGCUGAUUCAGCUUCUUCAUCACGUCUGAGGCUCUGUCACAGUUUGUUUGUCAACAUCAUCAUGGACACAACACAAGCACAUUUAUUUGACAUGUGAGUUUCUAUGAUUGUGAUUGAUGUGGAUGUAGAUGACAAAGAUGAUGAUAGAGAAGGGAUAUUGUACAUGUGUUCAGAUGAUGUAUGCAAACAGUCAUAACCUGGCUGUGACGUGUGUGGGGGAUUAAAAUUUUCCAAAAUGCAGUAAAUUAGGAUGACAGAAAUGAUGGCACCUCUGUUUUCACGUGAGCUAAAGCUACAGGUGUCACAUCAAACACUCACAGGGAAAACACCAAUCACAGCACGCACACAUAUACUGAACAUUACAGAGAGAAUUAUUAGAGAUCGACUCCGUUAUGAGCCUUCUUUUAAUAUCGAUGCCUGUUAAAAAUUUAUAACAGCCCUAAACAUGUCUUCAUUACAACAUGCAUCAGUCUAGUGUUUAUAAAUGAAUCUUUUUGUGCUACUGUCAGUAAUGCUGUAUAACGAGUUAAAGUGCUGCUAAAGUUAAACUCAGUGUGGUAUUUUCCAAAACUAUGGUGUCAUUGUGAUAGUUGCAGGCAAUGUUGGGUGUAACUGUAAUUAAAUUACUUUUCCACUGAAAAAGUAGAGUAACUAAUUACUAUUCAUUUUUAGGAAUUUUAAUUACAGUUACUUACAAUGUAUUUGUGUUACAUUGUAAAAUAAUUAAAUAAUAAAUAAAUAAAUAAUUAAACUCGCUGAAUAUCAUUAUUUAAGCAGGCAAAACUUGAUUUUACUUCAGCAGCACAGAAAGCGUCUGAAGGUGAGCUUAAAAAAUGAUUGCAGGCUACAUUGUGGAACAGAUGCUACCGCUGCGUACUGUAGAGUCUCCGUCUUUGAAAAAAAUUAUUUAUUAUUUAAAGAGUUUAAUUUCUAUUGUUUGUCCACUCAAGGUUUAUAGGGAUUUUAAGAAGUAUUUAGUUUAAUUACUUAUUUAGUAAUUAACUAACCCAAAACUGGUUGCAGGGCAUUGCGUUAAAAAAAAGUGUGUUGUACAGCUCUUUCC
ensembl:lncRNA